AGGGAAACCGAGUCUUAACCGGGCGUUAAGUUGCAGGGUAUAGACCCGAAACCCGGUGAUCUAGCCAUGGGCAGGUUGAAGGUUGGGUAACACUAACUGGAGGACCGAACCGACUAAUGUUGAAAAAUUAGCGGAUGACUUGUGGCUGGGGGUGAAAGGCCAAUCAAACCGGGAGAUAGCUGGUUCUCCCCGAAAGCUAUUUAGGUAGCGCCUCGUGAACUCAUCUUCGGGGGUAGAGCACUGUUUCGGCUAGGGGGUCAUCCCGACUUACCAACCCGAUGCAAACUGCGAAUACCGAAGAAUGUUAUCACGGGAGACACACGGCGGGUGCUAACGUCCGUCGUGAAGAGGGAAACAACCCAGACCGCCAGCUAAGGUCCCAAAGUCACAGUUAAGUGGGAAACGAUGUGGGAAGGCUCAGACAGCCAGGAUGUUGGCUUAGAAGCAGCCAUCAUUUAAAGAAAGCGUAAUAGCUCACUGGUCGAGUCGGCCUGCGCGGAAGAUGUAACGGGGCUAAACUGUGCACCGAAGCUGCGGCAGCGACGCUUAUGCGUUGUUGGGUAGGGGAGCGUUCUGUAAGCCUGCGAAGGUGUCCUGUGAGGGAUGCUGGAGGUAUCAGAAGUGCGAAUGCUGACAUAAGUAACGAUAAUGCGGGUGAAAAGCCCGCUCGCCGGAAGACCAAGGGUUCCUGUCCAACGUUAAUCGGGGCAGGGUGAGUCGACCCCUAAGGCGAGGCCGAAAGGCGUAGUCGAUGGGAAACGGGUUAAUAUUCCCGUACUUGGUGUUACUGCGAAGGGGGGACGGAGAAGGCUAUGUUGGCCGGGCGACGGUUGUCCCGGUUUAAGCGUGUAGGCUGGUUUUCCAGGCAAAUCCGGAAAAUCAAGGCUGAG
rnacentral:rRNA from 1 species